rnacentral:lncRNA from 1 species
CCUGAGAUGGGGCUGAGGCGGGGCACAGGUGGGCUGGGUGGGGCUUAGAAGAGAUCCGCGCAGGGGGCGGGGCGGGACUGGGGCGGAGCUCAGGUGGGCCGGGUGGACCUGGAAGGGGUUGGGGCGGGGCUGGGGCGAUCCCGUCUGAGGCGCCCGGACUGUUAACCCAGCCGAGUAAUGGUGGCCGCUGGAGCGCCGGCGGUGGUGGAUCAGGAGCCACCGCGGGGAGGAUCGGCAGUACCGGACAUCGGAGCCGCAGCCGGGGUGGCCCCGGGGCUUGGGGCAGCCCGCGGGGUGCCGGGGGGGACGCAGGAUGCGCUCCGAGGACGCGGUCGGGGGCUGUACCCGGCGCCUCCGGGCAGAGAAUCCUGAUUUUGUCCCCACCACUGACAUGCCUAGCAAAAAAAUCACAUUUCCAGCAGAGAGUACGGCGGCAUGACAAGAUCUGAGAUGCAAGCAGAGGCUCUUGGCUGGUGCUUCUGGGGAAGCCUUUAAACUGGGUGGGGUUUCCGCUCUCCAAGAUGGCAGCACAGGAGAGAGAUUCCCCCUGGAGAGGCUGUCCCUCAACCACACAGCAUGUGAGGGGGCCCCCGGCUCUGAGAUGGGCUUCCCACCAUCCUGAUGGUUUGUGGCACUGUGUAAACAGCUCAGGCGUCUCCUGGGUUCUUUGUCUCCUCAGCUUCAUGGUUCAUCCUCAGACACUCCAGAAUGAUAAUUAUCCUUGGAUCUCGCAGAGUAAUUUGUUGGCAGUUCCCAGAAGGAAUGUGACAUUUCAAACCAAAUGGAGGGCCAAGGGGUCACCAUCAACGUACAGAGACGCUCCUCCCCACAGCCUCAUCUAUCUGGGAGCCUUCACAUAAGAAGUGCAGAAACUUCCUUUUUCUUAGAUCAAGGGUCAUAAAACUAUAGCUGUGGGCCAAAUCUGGCCCAUUAUCUGUUUUGUAAAUAAAUUUUUAUUGGAAAACA